UACGGGGGGGGCAAGCGUUGUUCGGAAUACUGGGCGUAAAGGGCUCGUAGGCGGCCAACUAAGUCAGACGUGAAAUCCCCAGGCUCAACCUGGGAACUGCGUCUGAUACUGGAUGGCUUGAAUCCGGGAGAGGGAUGCAGAAUUCCAGGUGUAGCGGUGAAAUGCGUAGAUAUCUGGAGGAAUACCGGUGGCGAAGGCGGCAUCCUGGACCGGCAUUGACGCUGAGGAGCGAAAGCCAGGGGAGCAAACGGG
rnacentral:rRNA from 1 species